rnacentral:rRNA from 1 species
AUUGAACCCUGGCGGCAGGCCUAACACAUGCAAGUCGAACGAGUGGCGGACGGGUGAGUAAUGUCUGGGAAACUGCCUGAUGGAGGGGGAUAACUCCUGGAAACGGUAGCUAAUACCGCAUACCAUCAGAUGUGCCCAGAUGGGAUUAGCUUGUUGGUGGGGGAACGGCUUACCAAGGCGACGAUACCUAGCUGGUCUGAGCGGAUGACCAGCCACGCUGAAACUGAAACACGGUCCAGACUCCUACGGGGGGCAGCAGUGGGGAAUAUUGCACGAAGGGCGCAAGCCUGAUGCAGCCAUACCGCGUGUAUGAAGAAGGCCUUCGGGUUGUAAAGUACUUUCAGCGGGGAGGCGUUACCCGCAGAAGAAGCACCGGCUAACUCCGUGCCAGCAGCCGCGGUAAUAC